rnacentral:rRNA from 1 species
AUUGAACGCUGGCGGCAGGCCUAACACAUGCCAGUCGAGCGGAUGAAGGGAGCUUGCUCCUGGAUUCAGCGGCGGACGGGUGAGUAAUGCCUAGGAAUCUGCCUGGUAGUGGGGGAUAACGUCCGGAAACGGGCGCUAAUUCCGCAUACGUCCUGAGGGAGAAAGUGGGGGAUCUUCGGACCUCACGCUAUCAGAUGAGCCUAGGUCGGAUUAGCUAGUUGGUGGGGUAAAGGCCUACCAAGGCGACGAUCCGUAACUGGUCUGAGAGGAUGAUCAGUCACACUGGAACUGAGACACGGUCCAGACUCCUACGGGAGGCAGCAGUGGGGAAUAUUGGACAAUGGGCGAAAGCCUGAUCCAGCCAUGCCGCGUGUGUGAAGAAGGUCUUCGGAUUGUAAAGCACUUUAAGUUGGGAGGAAGGGCAGUAAGUUAAUACCUUGCUGUUUUGACGUUACCAACAGAAUAAGCACCGGCUAACUUCGUG